GAUGAACGCUGGCGGCGUGCCUAAUACAUGCAAGUCGAGCGCACGGACGAGAAGCUUGCUUCUCUGAUGUUAGCGGCGUACGUGUGAGUAACACGUGGAUAACCUACCUAUAAGACUGGGCUAACUUCGUGAAACCGGUGCUAAUUCCGGCUAAUAUUUUGAUCCUCAUGGUUUAAAAGUGAUAUCCGGUCUUGCUGUCACUUAUAGAUGGAUCCGCUCUGCAUUAGCUAGUUGGUAAGGUAACGGCUUACCAAGGCAACGAUGCAUAGCCGACCUGAGAGGGUGGUAGGCCACACGGGAACGUGGACACGGUCCAGACGCCUACGGGAGGCAGCAGUAGGGAAUCUGACGCAAUGGGCGAAAGCAUGACGGAGCAACGCCGCGUGAGUGAUGAAGGUGUUGGGAGCGGAAAAAUGGGUUAUGAGGGAAGAACAUAUGUGUAAGGAAAUGUGCACAAAGUGACGGUACCUAAACAGAAAGCCACGGCUAACUACGUG
rnacentral:rRNA from 1 species